rnacentral:rRNA from 1 species
GAUGAACGCUCGCGAUAGGCUUAACACAUGCAAGUCGAGGGGCAGCACAAGGUAGCUUGCUAUCUGGGUGGCGACCGGCGCACGGGUGCGUAACGCGUAUGCAACUUGCCCUAUACAGGGGGAUAACCCGUCGAAAGACGGACUAAUACUGCGUAUGCUCACAACUUGGCAUCAAGUGGUGAGGAAAGAAAUUCGGUAUAGGAUAGGCAUGCGUCCCAUUAGCUUGUUGGUGAGGUAACGGCUCACCAAGGCAACGAUGGGUAGGGGAACUGAGAGGUUUAUCCCCCACACUGGUACUGAGACACGGACCAGACUCCUACGGGAGGCAGCAGUGAGGAAUAUUGGUCAAUGGGCGCGAGCCUGAACCAGCCAAGUCGCGUGAAGGAUGACUGUCUUAUGGAUUGUAAACUUCUUUUAUACGGGAAUAACAAGAGUCACGUGUGACUCCCUGCAUGUACCGUAUGAAUAAGCAUCGGCUAACUCCGUG